rnacentral:rRNA from 1 species
CCGAUCAAGCAUGGAUGUGGCUUUCGACAGGGUGACCCUCUCUCGCCGUUGCUCUUUGUAUUGGCCAUUGAUCCGUUGCACCACAUCUUGGAAAAGGCCACCUCUCAGGGUCUUCUGCACCCGCUAGGCAGUCGCUUCACGGGCAUUAGGGCUUCCUUAUAUGCUGACGAUGCGACAAUUUUUUGCGCCCCUAUCAAGGAAGAUGUUAGUUUCAUUGCCAACACGCUCUCCUCCUUUGGUGAAUCAACGGGGCUGGUCACCAACUGUGCGAAGAGCUUGGUUGCCCCCAUCCAAUGCACAAAUCUGGACCUUAAUGACAUCCUGCAACAUUUCCCGGCCUGCCGAUCAUCAUUCCCAAUUCGCUACUUAGGCCUUCCGCUUGCGAUUCGACGGCUCAAAAGGAUCCAUUUACAACACCUUGAAGACAAAGCAGUCGGAAAGCUUGCACCUUGGAGAGGGAGACAUGUGGCUAUUGCGGGCCGAAUGGCCUUUGUCAAGGCGGUCCUCACGGCGGUGGCCAUCUAC